CAGGGAGACAACAAAAUGUUUAAUAUUAUUAUUUUGUCACCUUAGGUCGAUCGGUAUCUCACGUUCUUAAUUUGUUAAGAAUUUCAUUUCCUAAGUUUUUCUAGGUCACACCCAUUAUUUUUCCUGGGCCAUUAGCUCAGGUGGUUAGAGCGCACCCCUGAUAAGGGUGAGGUCCCUGGUUCAAGUCCAGGAUGGCCCAUAUCUCUAUGUUGGGGGUAUAGCUCAGUUGGUAGAGCGCCUGCUUUGCAAGCAGGAUGUCAGCGGUUCGAGUCCGCUUACCUCCACUGAUUACCACCUCUUCCAUAACCGGUAGAAAGGAAGUGUUUUGAGUUGUGAUCAUUAUUCUGAACGAAUCUAGCUUCCUAAUAAAAUCAUUAAGAUGCUGGACUCAUUGAAUUAAUUUCAUUGUUUUCAGAGAACCUUGACAACUGCAUAGAUUAUUUUUAAAGACAAUAAGCAUCUUUAGGAUGCAGAUUUAUUAUUUGUGCGAAUGCAUUAAUAACAAUUCUAUUAAGCUGAUGCUUCAAUUUUUGAAGUUAUU
rnacentral:tRNA from 1 species